rnacentral:rRNA from 1 species
UACGGGGGGGGCAAGCGUUGUUCGGAAUUACUGGGCGUAAAGGGCUCGUAGGCGGCCAACUAAGUCAGACGUGAAAUCCCUCGGCUUAACCGGGGAACUGCAUCUGAUACUGGAUGGCUUGAGUUCGGGAGAGGGAUGCGGAAUUCCAGGUGUAGCGGUGAAAUGCGUAGAUAUCUGGAGGAACACCGGUGGCGAAGGCGGCAUCCUGGACCGACACUGACGCUGAUGCGCGAAAGCCAGGGGAGCGAACAGG